AUGUCUACAUCAGAGGGUUCGGAGACUGCUAAUUCCAUGGAUGAGGAUACGAGUCAAAUACCACAUGUUAGAAGGUCCAAGGUAUGGGAGCAUUAUGAAGUAGAUUUGGUUCUUGUAGAUGGUGAUUUCAAGGUUGUGUGCAAAUACUGUGGAGCGCAACUUCACACCAAGUUUGGGACUAGCAGUUUGAGGACCCAUAUUGCAGAGGCUUGCCGAUCAAUCCAAGAUGCUUGCAGACAGGGGUUUUUGUUCACCAUGAAAAAAGAAACCAUCCAAAGGACUGUUUGUUUUUGA
rnacentral:rRNA from 1 species